AACGAACGCUGGCGGCAUGCCUAACACAUGCAAGUCGAACGAGACCUUCGGGUCUAGUGGCGCACGGGUGCGUAACGCGUGGGAACCUGCCCUUAGGUUCGGAAUAACUCCCCGAAAGGGGUGCUAAUACCGGAUAAUGUCUUCGGACCAAAGAUUUAUCGCCUUUGGUUGGGCCCGCGUUGGAUUAGCUAGUUGGUAGGAUAAAAGCCUACCAAGGCGACGAUCCAUAGCUGGUCUGAGAGGAUGAUCAGCCACACUGGGACUGAGACACGGCCCAGACUCCUACGGGAGGCAGCAGUGGGGAAUAUUGGACAAUGGGCGAAAGCCUGAUCCAGCAAUGCCGCGUGAGUGAUGAAGGCCUUAGGGUUGUAAAGCUCUUUUACCCGGGAUGAUAAUGACAGUACCGGGAGAAUAAGCUCCGGCUAACUCCGUG
rnacentral:rRNA from 1 species